rnacentral:rRNA from 1 species
UGCCAGCAGCCGCGGUAAUACGGAGGUUGCAAGCGUUGUUCGGAAUUACUGGGCGUAAAGGGAGCGCAGGCGGUUUGAUCAGUCUGAAGUGAAAGCCCGGGGCUUAACUCCGCGUUUGUGCUUGAAACUGUAGGUCUAGAAUCAGGGAGAGGUUAGCGGAAUUCUUAGUGUAGGGGUGCAAUCCGUAGAUACUAAGAAGAACACCAAAAGCGAAGGCAGCUAACUGGAACUCGAUUGACGCUGAGGGACGAAAGCGUGGGGAGCGAAGAGGAUUAGAUA